ensembl:snoRNA SNORD116 Small nucleolar RNA SNORD116
GGAUGUAUGAUGAUUCCCUGUCAAACAUUCCUUUAAAAAGCUGAACAUAAUCAGUGAAAACUCAGUACCACCACUCAUUGGGACUGAGGUCA